UUAACAUUCCGAGUUUGAAAGCGUGGGAAUCUGGAAAGCAGAAGACGGAAGAAGAAAAGACCGUCAAAAGUCGAACGGAGACACUACGCUUUCUUUCACCCUAACACAACACCGGCAAUGCAGACGCUACUUCUGCCGGCAACACGCGCCGGCAGCUUCACGGCAGUUCCUCUGUCAGCCUCCGCCGUCGCCUCCCCUCCACUCCCUCAACCAUUUCUCCGCCCGAAUUCCUUCCCUCACCCCUUCUCAAUCGGGCUCGUUCAUCUUCCUCUUUUAGUUCCUCCAUCGCUCGUCAACCAUGGAAGAAGCUUCCCUUCACCGCAAGCGCUUCUUCGCAAGUGUCUCCGGCAUUCACUCCCUCCAACGACGAAUCAGAUAAGGCCAAACUCGAGCAGGUGGCGAAGAGAUUGGAGAAGACGGCGAGAUACUUCAAACGUUUGGGUAACUUAGGGUUUUGGGUCAGCUAGUGUGUACCGUCGUGGCUGCCGUCAUACUCUCAUUCUCCGUCGUCGUCACCGGAAAAGUGACAUCGCCGCCACAUUUUAUGCCACGGCGGGUGGAAUAGUUGCUGCCUUCAUUUCAGUGUUUUGGUCCUUUGGCUAUAUUCGUCUCUCUGAGAAGCUUCGAAAAACUUCAAAUGACCCUACCAAGGCUCCUCCUCGUUGCUGAUGUAGUGAAAGGCUUGAAAAAUGGUAUAAUGUUGAACCUGUUGGGGAUGGGUGCUGCUAUUCUUGGGAUGCAAGCCACGGUUGGAUUGUUAGUUGCUAAGGCUCUCACUUCCUCGGCAAACCCGUAUUAUCAGGGAAUUUCUCCCGGUAGCACCCCAGUGCUCGCAUUGGAUGUAUUUUUGGUGCAGGCUUCAGCGAACACUAUUCUUUCUCAUUUCCUUGGGCUUGUUUUCUCACUGGAGUUGCUGCGAUCAGUCACAUUACCACCUUCAGAUGCAACUUCAUUUCCCCAAAUUUGCGUAAUAUGUGCCUCGAGACUAGUAUAAUGAAAUCACACACCCAACAAUUGUCCCUCGUCUCUUGUGGUUAUUUGCUUAAUUAAUUGUGUUCAGCUUUUUGAUACAGCGUUUUGAGGCCCUCUUCCUAGGCAAUUGACCUCAUCGUGUAUUUCCAAUUUUAAAAGAUCCUGUGCAAUAUUGCUAAUAAGCAUGAUAACUCCUCAGCAAAUGAAGAUCCUUGGACAUUGGAGUUUUCACUUACUUUCAUAGCUUGUCUACGGUUAGUGUCAAUCAGAGAAAUUUCAAAACGCAAAUUUCAAAUAAUUGUAUAUUAGACCUGUCAUGCAAUCUGCGGGUUUUUGUUUCUUUUCAGUAUGAUGUGGAGUCCUUGUCUGAGGAAACAGAAUUUUUUUUGUUAGAAUUGUAUUUUGGCCAUGAUUUUGUAUUUGCGUCAGAAUCUCGUACAGUAUUGGUUUUGGUUCAUGCGCAGGAUUCACAUAAUAGUGGGUUUUGUGUGCAGGAAUUUGAUCGAUACUUGCAAGUCAGGACUAAGAAUUAAGAAGCCUUAAGGACACAUAAUAGUUAGUAAAAACUAUCUUCAAUCAUGUCAGUCUGUCCACACAGGCGGUAAUUUCAAUGUUAAA